GCCCAUCUUAUCAAACGGGAGUCUGAAAAAAGCACCUUUUUCAGGGCGAUAAAAGCUUUUGCAGUAAAAUUCCGUCGGCAAUCCCUUCCUCUUUCUGUCUUCUGCUUUUGCUCUUUCAAGUUUAUCAGCAUUCGUGUUUCUAUGCUGGUGUCCCCAAGGCAUCAUUCUGAUAUUGACAGCUAUACUUUCUUUGACAUCUCCUAGUUGCAGAUUCAUGCAUUCAUUGAUCAAAAA
rnacentral:misc_RNA from 1 species